rnacentral:rRNA from 1 species
UACGAACUGUGCAAACGUUUAUUCGGAUUCACUGGGCUUAAAGGGUGCGUAGGCGGCCAUGUAAGUAGGGUGUGAAAUCCCCCGGCUUAACCGGGGAACUGCGCCCUAAACUGUGUGGCUUGAGUGAGAUAGGGGUGUGUGGAACUUCCGGUGGAGCGGUGAAAUGUGUUGAUAUCGGAAGGAACGCCGGUGGCGAAAGCGACACACUGGGUCUCAACUGACGCUGAGGCACGAAAGCCAGGGGAGCGAACGGGG